UGAACGCUGGCGGCGUGCCUAACACAUGCAAGUCGAACGGGAAUCUUCGGAUUCUAGUGGCGGACGGGUGAGUAACGCGUAAGAAUCUAACUUCAGGACGGGGACAACAGUUGGAAACGACUGCUAAUACCCGAUAUGCCGCAAGGUGAAACCUAAUUGGCCUGGAGAAGAGCUUGCGUCUGAUUAGCUAGUUGGUGGGGUAAGAGCCUACCAAGGCGACGAUCAGUAGCUGGUCUGAGAGGAUGAGCAGCCACACUGGGACUGAGACACGGCCCAGACUCCUACGGGAGGCAGCAGUGGGGAAUUUUUCCGCAAUGGGCGAAAGCCUGACGGAGCAACGCCGCGUGAGGGAGGAAGGUCUUUGGAUUGUAAACCUCUUUUCUCAAGGAAGAAGUUCUGACGGUACUUGAGGAAUCAGCCUCGGCUAACUCCGUGCCAGCAG
rnacentral:rRNA from 1 species